rnacentral:misc_RNA from 1 species
UCUCCGUUGGUGAACCAGCGGAGGGAUCACUAUCGAGUUUAUAACUCCCAAACCCUAUGUGAACUUACCACUUGUUGCUUCGGCGCGCGCUUCGGCGCCGCCGAGGACACUUAAACUCUUUGUUUUUAUAAGCAUUUCUGAGUGGCCGAAAGGCAAAAUACAAAUGAAUCAAAACUUUCAACAACGGAUCUCUUGGUUCUG